rnacentral:rRNA from 1 species
GUGAAGUCAUUGAUGCCAUGCUUCCAGGAAAAGCCUCUAAGCUUCAGAUUGUAAGGAAUCGUACCCCAAACCGACACAGGUGGUCGGGUAGAGAAUACCAAGGCGCUUGAGAGAACUCGGGUGAAGGAACUAGGCAAAAUGGUACCGUAACUUCGGGAGAAGGUACGCUCUUGAUGGUGAAGUCCCUUGCGGAUGGAGCUGACGAGAGUCGCAGAUACCAGGUGGCUGCAACUGUUUAUUAAAAACACAGCACUGUGCAAAAUCGUAAGAUGACGUAUACGGUGUGACGCCUGCCCGGUGCCGGAAGGUUAAUUGAUGGGGUUAGACUUCGGUCGAAGCUCUUGAUCGAAGCCCCGGUAAACGGCGGCCGUAACUAUAACGGUCCUAAGGUAGCGAAAUUCCUUGUCGGGUAAGUUCCGACCUGCACGAAUGGCGUAAUGAUGGCCACGCUGUCUCCACCCGAGACUCAGUGAAAUUGAAAUCGCUGUGAAGAUGCAGUGUACCCGCGGCUAGACGGAAAGACCCCGUGAACCUUUACUACAGCUUGGCACUGAACAUUGACCCUACAUGUGUAGGAUAGGUGGGAGGCUUUGAAGCACGUACGCCAGUAUGUGUGGAGCCGUCCUUGAAAUACCACCCUUGUAGUGUUGAUGUUCUAACGUCGACCCCUAAUCGGGGUUGCGGACAGUGCCUGGUGGGUAGUUUGACUGGGGCGGUCUCCUCCCAAAGAGUAACGGAGGAGCACGAAGGUGGGCUAAUCACGGUUGGACAUCGUGAGGUUAGUGCAAUGGCAUAAGCCCGCUUGACUGCGAGAAUGACAAUUCGAGCAGGUGCGAAAGCAGGUCAUAGUGAUCCGGUGGUUCUGAAUGGAAGGGCCAUCGCUCAACGGAUAAAAGGUACUCCGGGGAUAACAGGCUGAUACCGCCCAAGAGUUCAUAUCGACGGCGGUGUUUGGCACCUCGAUGUCGGCUCAUCACAUCCUGGGGCUGAAGUCGGUCCCAAGGGUAUGGCUGUUCGCCAUUUAAAGUGGUACGCGAGCUGGGUUUAGAACGUCGUGAGACAGUUCGGUCCCUAUCUGCCGUGGGCGUUGGAAGAUUGAAGGGGGCUGCUCCUAGUACGAGAGGACCGGAGUGGACGAACCUCUGGUGUUCGGGUUGUGUCGCCAGACGCAUUGCCCGGUAGCUAAGUUCGGAAUCGAUAACCGCUGAAAGCAUCUAAGCGGGAAGCGAGCCCUGAGAUGAGUCUUCCCUGAUACUUUAAGUAUCCUAAAGGGUUGUCGGAGACUACGACGUUGAUAGGUCAGGUGUGUAAGUGCUGUGAGGCAUUGAGCUAACUGAUACUAAUUGCCCGUGAGGCUUAACCAUACAACACCCAAGGGGUUU